UAAGCGAUGCGCUAUCCGUAGCCGAGUUGACAUACAGGAGCUGCUGAUGCGCUUUGGUUACGUACUUACGUGCAUAUGUUAGGUUGACGCCCGGUUGACGGCGAGGCAAAAAGCGACGGUGACGAUCCCUUUCCGAGUUGA